UGUCGUCAGCUCGUGUUGUGAAAUGUUGGGUUAAGUCCCGCAACGAGCGCAACCCUUAUCCUUUGUUGCCAGCGAUUAGGUCGGGAACUCAAAGGAGACUGCCAGUGAUAAACUGGAGGAAGGUGGGGAUGACGUCAAGUCAUCAUGGCCCUUACGACCAGGGCUACACACGUGCUACAAUGGCGCAUACAAAGAGAAGCGACCUCGCGAGAGCAAGCGGACCUCAUAAAGUGCGUCGUAGUCCGGAUUGGAGUCUGCAACUCGACUCCAUGAAGUCGGAAUCGCUAGUAAUCGUGGAUCAGAAUGCCACGGUGAAUACGUUCCCGGGCCUUGUACACACCGCCCGUCACACCAUGGGAGUGGGUUGCAAAAGAAGUAGGUAGCUUAACCUUCGGGAGGGCGCUUACCACUUUGUGAUUCAUGACUGGGGUGAAGUCGUAACAAGGUAACCGUAGGGGAACCUGCGGUUGGAUCAC
rnacentral:rRNA from 1 species